rnacentral:lncRNA from 1 species
GCGCCUGUCCUCCCCAGGCAGCAGCCCCUCCUCCCUCCCUCCCGGGGCCUCCCCUUAAGGAAAGGGAUCCCAUUGAUAAGAGAAGGUCAACCAGUUUCUUGGUGGUCAGGGUGGCCCUGGGACCGGCUGGGAGGGGGGGAGCCCGAGAUCCUGGGGGCAGGGGAAGCCCCCCCAAACCCUGAGCGCCUGUCCUCCCCAGGCAGCAGCCCCUCCUCCCUCCCUCCCGGGGCCUCCCCUUUAAGCGCCCACGCAGGCGCACUCGCCUCCCUCCUUCCCUGCCUCCUCUGGCCGGCGGACGGGCAGGCGGGGCUCCGGCAGGGACAAAGGCGGGCGCACCGGGCGGAGCAGAGACGGGGCGCCCGGGGCCACGAUCCCGCCCUUGCACGGAGGAAGAGGAGGAGGAGGAGAGGCCGAAGAAGGAAGGAAGGAAGGGGGAGGAAAGGAGGCGCGCCCUUGCGGGGGACCCCCCGGGACGAGAGUGCCUCUGAGCGUGGCCAGAGUGCAGCCACCGCCCUUGGAAGAGGGGGGGUGGUCCCGAUCCGGCGGCCCCCCAGGAGUUGGGCAGCAGCAGAGCCGAGCCCCCCACCGGCUGCCUCCUCUCCCUUCCAUGGCUCGGGGGGCUCCGCUCCCCUCCGGGGCUUGACCUCCUCCUCCGGGCCCCGAUCCGGCGCCCCUUCCUCCUCCUCUUCCUCCUCCUCCGGCCACCAUGAGCGUCCUGCCGGCGGCGGGGUCCCCCCCGGAGAGGAGGAGGAGCACCAGCAUCAUCACCGCCGCCGCAUCAUCAUCCUUCUCCGCAUCAUCCUCCGCCUCCACGGCCGGGCCGGGGGUCUCCUUACUGGAGGGCCUCCCGCCGCUCCCCAAAGGCCUGAGCGGGAUCCUGCACUCCAGCGGCGGCUCCUGGAGGGAGAUCGAGAAGGUCUACAGCAAGAAGACCCGCAUCCAGGCCGACCUCCGACGGGAUCGGGACCGGGAUCGGGACCGGGAGGAAGAGGAGGAGAAGGAGGAAGAAGGGAGGAGGAGGAGGAGGCGAGCCCCCCCCAGGCCGGCCAACCUCGACGCCGCCCUCGCCCUCCUCCGCAAGGAGAUGGUAAGGAGGGACACCCCCACCCCCCAGGGAGGGGAGGGGAUGGGAUGGGUGGGAAUCAUACUCCUCAUCACCAUCACCAGGGCUGGAAACGGGAGUCGAACCUCCAGCCUCUUGGAUGCGCCGCUGGAAGGGGACCCUAUAGGGAUCAUCCAGCUGGCACAGGGAGGAUUCGAACUCUCCACCUCGGACUCCCCAAGCCAGCUAUCCUCCAUCGCUGA